UUGAUGGAGAGUUUGAUCCUGGCUCAGGACGAACGCUGGCGGCGUGCCUAAUACAUGCAAGUCGAGCGGGGCUUGAGGAGGGCUUGCCCUUCGAGAGCCCAGCGGCGGACGGGUGAGUAACACGUGGGUAACCUGCCCGUAAGACCGGGAUAACUCCGGGAAACCGGGGCUAAUACCGGAUAACACCGGGGGCCGCAUGGCUUCCGGUUGAAAGGCGGCCUUUGGC
rnacentral:rRNA from 1 species